rnacentral:rRNA from 1 species
GUAGGUGGCAAGCGUUGUCCGGAAUUAUUGGGCGUAAAGCGCGCGCAGGUGGGGUCUUUAAGUCUGAUGUGAAAGCCCCCGGGCUCAACCGGGGAGGGUCAUUGGAAACUGGGGAACUUGAGUGCAGGAGAGGAAAGUGGAAUUCCACGUGUAGCGGUGAAAUGCGUAGAUAUGUGGAGGAACACCAGUGGCGAAGGCGACUUUCUGGCCUGUAACUGACACUGAGGCGCGAAAGCGUGGGGAGCAAACAGGGUUAGAUACCCUGGUAGUCCACGCCGUAAACGAUGAGUGCUAAGUGUUGGGGGGGUUUCCGCCCCUCAGUGCUGCAGCUAACGCAUUAAGCACUCCGCCUGGGGAGUACGGUCGCAAAGACUG